rnacentral:rRNA from 1 species
UACGUAGGGUGCAAGCGUUGUCCGGAAUUAUUGGGCGUAAAGAGCUCGUAGGCGGUCUGUCACGUCUGCUGUGAAAACUCGGGGCUUAACCCCGGGCCUGCAGUGGGUACGGGCAGACUAGAGUGCGGUAGGGGAGACUGGAAUUCCUGGUGUAGCGGUGAAAUGCGCAGAUAUCAGGAGGAACACCGGUGGCGAAGGCGGGUCUCUGGGCAGUAACUGACGCUGAGGAGCGAAAGCGUGGGGAGCGAACAGG